GGAGAAGUGAGCCCAGGUGUUCAGAUGACACUCCCCAUGCUGCCUUGACCUCCCGAGCCCUGAGCACACCAGGGGGGAGAAGCCCAUCCCCUGCCGCAGGUUGGUUGAAAGGAUUCACAAGUGGAAAAGUGAAGUGCUGAACAGGCACGAGGAAGAUGGAGAUCAGAAUUUCUUGUGAGUGCCCGAAGAAGUCAGGGACUGUCUAUUCUUGCACAUGUACUCUGAGUGCCUCGUGUAAUACAGGUCACCUUGCAGAUGCCCCCAUUGAUACUUGUUGACUGACUGAAUCAUCCAGCAUGACUUAGCGGGGUUCUGGAACACCUUGCUGUCCGUGGUGGUUACUCUUGUGCCCUUUGGAUUGUUGUAUGUGUGCCUGUUGCCUCUUCAGAUGGACAUUCCCAACCUUCCCUGGCAAGGAGCUGUUUCUCAACUGGAGCUUUCUCUUUAUCAUUGUUAUUAUUAUGCAAA